GAGGCAUUUACAAAUAAAUGAAAAAUGUCACAAUUGAUUUUGCUUCUUUCAGAGUACUCUGUGUCAGCUUUGUCACAAACCCUUUGUUAUUCUCUUUUUCAGAUCUGUUGUCUGGACAUUGGAAAUAACUUUGGUUCUGGGCUUCUUCCUGUUGACCCAGGAGUAUUAAUGUAG
rnacentral:lncRNA from 1 species